ensembl:miRNA
CUGCAGGCAGAAGUGGGGCUGACAGGGCAGAGGGUUGCGCCCCCUCACCACCCCUUCUGCCUGCAGCGGUGGGCU